GGGUCAGUAGGUUGGUCGUGCCACCGGUACGUACUGGUCUCACUGAUUCCUCCUCCCUGAAGAACCGUAAUGCCAUUAAUUUGGUGUUGCGGGGAAACAGGACUGUUACUUUGAAAAAAUUAGAGUGUUUAAAGCAAGCUAACGCCUGAAUACAUUAGCAUGGAAUAAUGAAAUAGGACGAUCGAUCCUGUUUUGUUGGUUUCUAGGAUUGACGUA
rnacentral:rRNA from 1 species